CCUCUGGACAGGUCUGCGCACGAAAGUGAGGUAAGACCGGAUGGGGCCUGUGGUCCUGGGCUCGCAGUUCUCCGAGCGCAUGCAGUUCACCAGAUAGCAGCUGCCCUCAAACCACCAGGCCAGGUCACAGGUGGGCAAGUCACAGCAAGCGGCUGUGCAGUCUCCCACGGAGAAGGUUUGAGACACCCGCAUGAUUCUAAUGGUUUCCGGGUUAGGUGAAAUGAUGGCGUCGGAGUAAGUCCUGCCCUCAGAGCACUGCUGAGAGCUGCCACCUGAAGACCAGAGUGGUACAUGAUUCAAUACCAAAUUGAAAAAGCAGAUUGAAUGAAAUGUUAAUCCCAGUAUUCAAGAGGCAGAAGCAGGAUGAUCCAAGUUCAAGACCAGCUCGGGCUACAUGAGACUGCUUCCAAAGAGACAAAACAUCCUUGUGGCUGGAGAGGUGGCCCAGGUGAUCAGCAGGACCUGCUGAUGGGUAGAACGGAAGUUGGCGGCAGCCUUGAGGAGCCGUAUCAGCCAUGCAGGUUCUCUUGGCCCACUUUAGUCCUGGCUUUCCGACUACCCACUGCUCUGAAGAUUCUUCUAACCCCUUGAGGAAGCUGCAAAGCAACUACAGCUGUUUGCUGCUGAAGCUGAACUCUGACUCUGAAAGUCACCAUUCCAGCCAUGGGUCCAGCAGCCUUUCUGUCAUCAUAAACCAAGAUGACCCUGCGACCAUUUCACACAGGACAAGAAGCCACUCUUAAAAUUAAAAGAGAUUGCAAUCAG